rnacentral:rRNA from 1 species
UACGUAGGGUGCGAGCGUUAAUCGGAAUUACUGGGCGUAAAGCGUGCGCAGGCGGCGCGUUAAGACAGGUGUGAAAGCCCCCGAGCUUAACUUGGGAAUUUGCGCUUGUGACUGGCGUGCUGGAGUGUGGCAGAGGGAGGUGGAAUUCCACGUGUAGCAGUGAAAUGCGUAGAGAUGUGGAGGAACACCGAUGGCGAAGGCAGCCUCCUGGGCCAGCACUGACGCUCAUGCACGAAAGCGUGGGGAGCAAACAGG